UAGUCUAUAAUAGAACAAUCUUAUUUAUACCUAGGAUAUGGCUGGGCGUUUCUACCUCGUACCGUAAAUGCGAGACAAUAAGGAAAUUCGAUUUUUUA
rnacentral:ncRNA from 18 species